AGUGAACGCUGGCGGUAGGCCUAACACAUGCAAGUCGAACGGCAGCACAGUAAGAGCUUGCUCUUACGGGUGGCGAGUGGCGGACGGGUGAGGAAUACAUCGGAAUCUACUUUUUCGUGGGGGAUAACGUAGGGAAACUUACGCUAAUACCGCAUACGACCUACGGGUGAAAGCAGGGGAUCUUCGGACCUUGCGCGAUUGAAUGAGCCGAUGUCGGACUAGCUAGUUGGCGGGGUAAAGGCCCACCAAGGCGGCGAUCCGUAGCUGGUCUGAGAGGAUGAUCAGCCACACUGGAACUGAGACACGGUCCAGACUCCUACGGGAGGCAGCAGUGGGGAAUAUUGGACAAUGGGCGCAAGCCUGAUCCAGCCAUACCGCGUGGGUGAAGAAGGCCUUCGGGUUGUAAAGCCCUUUUGUUGGGAAAGAAAAGCAGCAGGUUAAUACCCCGCUGUUCUGACGGUACCCAAAGAAUAAGCACCGGCUAACUUCGUG
rnacentral:rRNA from 1 species